AUGCCAGUCAAGAAGAAAGAUACUGACCGAGCUCUAGUGCUGCUGGAAGAAUAUUGUAAAAAACUAAGGAAGCCUGAAGAGCAACAACUGAAAAAAGCCAUCAGAAAGGUGAUGGGCAUCUUUAAGAGCAGCUUGUUUCAGGCACUUCUAGGUUCUUCCACUCCAGUAUUUUUCGCAGUUCAGCUUCAGUCAUCAGCCUGCACCGUAGGACCAUUAUUGACCCCUCUGGUUUGCUGCAUCACUCACACCACGGCACUUCUCAACAUCCUGGAGAAGUCAGUACUUCUGCUGUAAAGAAUGUGGAUAUAAAUUACUUCGAAUUGGUUCUGCUUGAGAAAAAGCUGUGUACUGUUGGAUAAGGUCCUGAAACGUAAUUUGAAAGCAUCAACAGCAGAAAAAAACAUCCUGAAGUGGGGGAAAGACACUCUUCUUGGACAUUACUCAUUUGAAUCAUGGAGCUAUAGAGGAGCAGAUAUUGGUAUGAUGCAGUCGAUGUGUGACAGAGUACCAAAUGGACAUUCUUGAAGUCAGCUCCAUCUUUCCUAUGACGUGACUAUUCUCUUAGUAGGCCAUAUAUUUUAGGAAAUCACUCAGCAUGUCUAUGAGCUUUCCCAGUCCUAAAUUCUUUUAGGCUGCGUAUUUCUUCUGGAGUCAAAAUUGGAGACAGCGUAGCCCAUGAGUUGCUGUGAAGGCAUCGAAGCAACAUUCCUCACUUUUAGGGGACUGGUGUGGUGGCAUACAGGAAUCUAAUGUUCCAUGCAAUUUAUGAUUUUCCAUUUUACUGAAGAAAUAAUUCUGUUUGUUUGUAGGUUUAUGAACUUGCAGUCUUGAGUGCAGAGUACUACAAGUCACAAAUCAUUUUAUCUAUUGGCUGUUCUGUCUUAAAUGAAGAAAUACUGUAUAUUGCUAAUAUCCUGAUCUCCAAGAGUUUGUAAGGAAAAAAAAAUUGAGUUUAAAUGUAAUUUUAAAAUAUUGGACAUUUAUUAUUAAAAUAUAUUUUUUUAGAAAAGAAAAGUAUCAGUUUUGUGAAUUAAUUCUUUUCUGACAGACACUGGAGAGGGAAGUGCUGUGGUGUUUCUCUUGAAAGAGGAAUACCUUUAAUCACAAGCCUCGGGAAGUGACUUGCGCUGU
rnacentral:lncRNA from 1 species